rnacentral:rRNA from 1 species
CCCACAGCGGUGGAGCAUGUGGUUUAAUUCGAUGCAACGCGAAGAGCCUUACCUACUCUUGACAUCCAGAGAAGCCAGCGGAGACGCAGGUGUGCCUUCGGGAACUCUGAGACAGGUGCUGCAUGGCUGUCGUCAGCUCGUGUUGUGAAAUGUUGGGUUAAGUCCCGCAACGAGCGCAACCCUUAUCCUUGUUUGCCAGCGAGUAAUGUCGGGAACUCCAGGGAGACUGCCGGUGAUAAACCGGAGGAAGGUGGGGACGACGUCAAGUCAUCAUGGCCCUUACGAGUAGGGCUACACACGUGCUACAAUGGCGCAUACAGAGGGCAGCAAGCUAGCGAUAGUGAGCGAAUCCCAAAAAGUGCGUCGUAGUCCGGAUUGGAGUCUGCAACUCGACUCCAUGAAGUCGGAAUCGCUAGUAAUCGUGAAUCAGAAUGUCACGGUGAAUACGUUCCCGGGCCUUGUACACACCGCCCGUCACACCAUGGGAGUGGGCUGCAAAAGAAGUGGGUAGUUUAACCUUUCGGGGAGGACGCUCACCACUUUGUGGUUCAUUACCUCAU